rnacentral:rRNA from 1 species
GUAGGUGGCAAUCGUUGUCCGGAAUUAUUGGGCGUAAAGCGCGCGCAGGCGGUUCUUUAAGUCUGAUGUGAAAGCCCACGGGCUCAACCGUGGAGGGUCAUUGGAAACUGGAGAACUUGAGUACAGAAGAGGAAAGCGGAAUUCCACGUGUAGCGGUGAAAUGCGUAGAGAUGUGGAGGAACACCAGUGGCGAAGGCGGCUUUCUGGUCUGUAACUGACGCUGAGGCGCGAAAGCGUGGGGAGCAAACAGGAUUAGAUACCCUGGUAGUCCACGCCGUAAACGAUGAGUGCUAAGUGUUAGGGGGUUUCCGCCCCUUAGUGCUGCAGCUAACGCAUUAAGCACUCCGCCUGGGGAGUACGGCCGCAAGGCUG